CUCAAAAAAAGAUCUUAAAGGAGAACAGGAUAAGAACAGUUCAACUAUAUGCAAUCUACAAAACACAUAAUCCAAAUAUAUGAAACGUGACUCUUGGUAUGAUGUAUAAUAGAGAGAAUCCCUCCUAAAAUUAUUUUCCUCCUCUUCUUAGUCAAAGGAAACUCCAAAUGAACAAGGCUCAAUAAAUUAAUGUUUGUAUACACAUCCAAAUUAUCUUCCAAAGCUGGAAAAUGCAAUUUUAUAAGUGGCUUAAGUUGUCUUUAGAGUAUUUUAGAAUCAGAGAUCACUUUGUUGUUUGAUUGCAAUUAUCUGUUAAAAGGUAUGGUGUAUUUUAAGUCUUAGGUUUAGUAAUAUUAAAAAAGAAAAGGAUUGAAUUUUUAUAGUGGAAAAAAAGUCGGUAACAACUAUAGUGGGAGAGAAAUCAGUAACUCGAAACAGCAAUAACGGGGAGAAAAAAAAAAUAUUCAGUAACUCGACUGCAAGUAAGAAAACGCAUAUUUCCCUGACCGGGAAUCGAACCCGGGCCGCGGCGGUGAGAGCGCCGAAUCCUAACCACUAGACCACCAGGGAACUUGAGUUGGUCUUCACUCCUGGCGUAUUUGGUUCUUUAAAAGUCUCUACGUAAACCGGACCAAUGGCGGGAAAGAUUGUUGACUUUAAACCCUGCCUACUUCUUUCUUGUUUCGGAUUUCAGAUUCUGAAACUACAGCAAACUCUCAGCGCUCUUAGGCUAGCUCCGCGACGGCUCCCAAGGCUGGAGACUCCAAAUCGAAUCCUCUUCGGACUGCCACGCUGCAAAAGACGUCCUGGGAUUGUAUUCCAAUUACAUGACGUUUGUUAAAAUCCCACUACAUUUUUUACGAAAUGGAACGUUUGAUUGCCGCGGGCGGAGAGCGUUUCCCGGUAUAGAGCUCGGUGCGACCCUGCACACGACCUUGGCACAGAGCACAUGCGGGGUAAACGUGGACGAUGAAGGGCUUCGUGGCCUUUUAGGACGCGACUGUUUUAUUUAUUGGGGAGUCAGAUUAACGAAGCUAGGACGGCUGCGGAUGUCUUGCUUAGUGAAGAACCCGGGUCUGUACAUUCGGGUCCAAGUAAACCGUUUUGCACUGUGCUUCCAUUGCCUCCUAUUUUUCAAACUGUUAUUAUCUGGGCAGUUACUUCACUUCUUGUUAUGUCGAGAAAAGGCCAGGGAAUGAUGCAAUUACCAAAGGAAUCAAGAAACCUUCCAGCGCAGCCUCAGUUCAGAAUCCCUCAUGAAAUAGGAGCAGAAGGCAAUCGCAUGUAACUCAGCUUUGAAAGUGCCAACCGUUCAGUUGGACUGAUGUAACCCAAGAGACCCCGCUCCGCUGCAAGAUGGAAGGAGGCUUAAGUAAAACAGAUAUAAAUUUGUAAUGAACUUGCUCGCAACAUCCGGCGCCGCUGUGAAUUACAGCCUUCGCCCAUCACCGUAGACUUCAGAAUUUGUUCUUGUUUUCAGCAAUUCAGAAAUGGAGUUUACAUUCUUGAUAAAAUUUGUCAAAAAUUAUUUAAUAAUACGCAAACAGGAAGAUUAAAAUGACUUAAUAAAUAAAGAUGGAAGCAUCA
ensembl:lncRNA